rnacentral:rRNA from 1 species
UAGUCCACGCCGUAAACUAUGAUUACUCGUUUUCAGCGAUAUACUGUUGGUGGCUAAGCGAAAGUGAUAAGUAUCCCACCGGGGGAGUACGUUCGCAAGAAUGAAACUCAAAGGAAUUGACGGGGCCCGCACAAGCGGUGGAGCAUGUGGUUUAAUUCGAUGAUACGCGAGGAACCUUACCAGGGCUUAAAUGCAGAUUGACAGGUUUAGAGAUAGACUUUUCUUCGGACAAUUUGCAAGGUGCUGCAUGGUUGUCGUCAGCUCGUGCCGUGAGGUGUCAGGUUAAGUCCUAUAACGAGCGCAACCCCUGUUGUUAGUUGCCAGCACAUUAAGGUGGGGACUCUAACAAGACUGCCGGUGCAAACCGUGAGGAAGGUGGGGAUGACGUCAAAUCAUCACGGGCCCUUACGUCCUGGGGCUACACACGUGCUACAAUGGUAGGGGACAGCAAGCAGCCACUGCGCGAGCAGGAGCUAAUCUACAAACCCUAUCUCAGUUCGGAUCGGA